ensembl:lncRNA
GGGAAGGAAAACAUACAGGAGUAAGAACCUGAUGCGUUGGCAUUCCACCAAAAUCAGCUGUCCGUGGGUGAGGAUCCUGAAGUUUGGGAAUGUUCUCUUUGCUGCUCCAACCCCAGGAGAAAGUAGAGAAAAUGAGAGUGUUGAGACCACUCUUCCCAGUCUGCAGCUACCUCUCCUCUGUGCUCAGGAAUUAUUAUUAUUAUUAAACAGACCGUUCCAAAGCAAAGCAAAUAUUGACAGUAAGUAAGAAAGCAAAUGCCAUUGUGCUUCUGGGUGCUGGAAGAGAGGAGAGAGACGAUGAAGAGCAGAAGGAAAUGAGGCUCUGGAAAGAUUUAGGGAGGAUUAGAUUUGUUUCCCAGCCCUCUCAGCAUCUACACUCUCCUUUUCUGGGAUUUGGGGCUUUCUGCUGGAGACAGGAACAGUGCAAGUGCAGAGGAAGGGCACACUGCAGUGCCAUGCAUUUGUGACAAAAAAAACCCCACCUCAUAUUAAAGCUGCAGCCUAUCCUACCACUUCUGGAAUACCAUCCCUGUUUUGUCUGGCCCUCUGAAUCCUCUUGGAGGCAGCUUCUGACGUGGGAGGCCUGCGAGAGCUCCCGAUGCGAUGAACAAAACCCACCUCACGCCUGUAGACAAAAAAUUCAAACCUCAUUUGUGUCUGCUGAGCGAACAAACCACAGCUAGUGAAAUCCCCUCACAAAAGGACAUUACAGGAAUGAGAACCACCUCCUUCAAAGCACAGCUGGGGUCAAGCACAGCCAUUCGUGCUGUGCCCCUCUGCGGGCACGGGGUGACAAGUCUCUCGUGGCACAGGCGGGAGGGAGCUCCCUCACACCCUGGCAGAUAAGCCAAGGAAGAUUUAAUUUGGUUUUUCCAGGGAAAAGACAGACACAGACACACAGAGGCACGCAGCAGGGAUGGUCUCCUGCUGCCUCCCCGGGGAGCAGAGGAGCUCUCAGCCAUCACUGCCGCUGAGUGGAGUUCCCUUUGUGCUCACAUUCGCAGCAGGAGGGGACACUCAGGCAGUGCCAGCGUGGCCGUGGGCUCUGUCCUGCCCUCUGUCACUUGUGACGUGCAGGAGCCCAGCAGGGAGGAUUUAUUGUGGUCUAAUAUCCGUGCCAGUGAAACCAUCCCCAUCCCCAAGGCUUGACCAACCUCUCUUGCUAUUGUGUAGGAUCUCCUCCUCACCACCAUCACACAUCCUUAGGGAAUGCAGUUGGGAGCUGCUUUUCUUUUCUCACGUUUUUCAUUGUUUUUCCCCCCAGACAGCGAGAUGAGAAGCACAGAGAAAUCUGAAUAGCAAAGCUGGGGCCAGGGAGCACAUCUGCACCAGUCAGCGUCCAGAUCUGAUCACAGAAUCACGAAGGUUGGAAAGGGCCUCCAAGAUCAUCCAACCUGUUAUGGAUCACUGAGUGCCACAUCCAGCUGUUCCUUGGACACCUCCAGGGAUGGGGACUCCAAACCUCCCUGUCAGACCCUUGCAAUGCCUGACAACCAUUUCCAUGAAGAAAUUCUUCCUGAAUUCUUCCUGAUGGUCCAUGACAGCCCCUGACAGUCUCCCUUACCCAAAGGCAACCACGUGAGCAGAACCACGUCCCACACACAGGGAAAGGUCCCCAAACUGCUGGGGACAGAUGAUGAAGAAUCUCACAAUUUCCCACACUGUUUUUCACCCUAUAGCAGGUGUAAUUUCAAGCUGUGCCAGGUGCCUGCUCACAGUCUGGCUUUGCAGCGAAGGGUAUUUAAAAGUCAAAGGGUGGUUGGGAAAAGACGUGUUUUGUAUUAAAAGGAUGAAGUUCAUUCAGCUGAGCUCAGUCUGGGCUCCUUGAGCAGGAGGACAAGAGCUCCUUCACUAUCUGCACCCACACGAGUUCAGCCUUUGUGAUUUUUUUUUUUUUUCAGUAUCAGUUAACUUUCUUUUCUGAACAAAAUAUAAAGUGGCACUUUUUUGCCAUUUUAGAAGUGUUGAAAUGGGAUGAUUCACCAGUAUCUUUCAUUCUUUCCUACAGAAAUGUUUGCUGUCAUGUUUCUUGUAAAAAUUGACUUAUUUAUGGGAGCGUUUCCUGCAAAGAAUUUCAGUUUCAUUAAAGCAGUUUUAUGAUGAGGAAGCAAAUAAUCAGAGAAUACCUGACCUUACCUAGUGUGUCUCAUCUCCCCUCGUUAGUACUGAGGAGCUUUUCUGACACAGUGGCAGGUGUGGGAGGGCUGGAUUGCUGUUUGCCAUGAUUCUGGCCGGGACUCAAGGAGUAAUCAGGGAGACAGGACCCUAGCCCAGACCAGGAAAGAAGCAAGAGAGAAUUUUAGCACCUUUCCCCUGCCUCUCCUCUGUCUGCAGUGUCAGCAGCAUCACUGCUGUGAUUUUGCACUGCUUUUCAAGAGACUUUUUGAUCCCUGGGGGAACAACUGUGCCCUUCAAGCCUGUGGUUUGAAAGUCUAGAAGUGCAAAGAGGAAACAAAGCAAAGACAAGAUUUCAUCUGGUUCUGAUGCAGAGUCAAACCAAGCCAUUCAUGCAUUGCAGUUUCUAUCAGCAAUCCAUGUGGAGCACAACCCACAAGCACUGACAUCUGGUGAGUGUAUGACCGGUGGACUUUCUCCAUAGAAAAUCCUGGAAUAUUCUGGGGCAAACAUGUUCGGCCUUUUAAAAUUGCCCUUAAGUACCCAUAGUGCUGCCUCCCCCUAAUGCUUUCCUCAGGAAAGGAAAGUCUUCUGCUAGAAGCCUGGCACAAAGGGAGAGGAAAAAACCUGAGGAACCAAAUGAAUGCAGGUGACAAAGAGUGGCUGUGAGGGAGGCAGAGCCUCCAAUGUCUGAAUUCAGUGUCAGAGCUGAAGCCAGCUCUGCAUUGGCUCAGGGCAGGGGACUGUUCUGUGUCAUUCUGCAUUGAGUGUUGGUGGGAUUUUAAGGUUUUCAUCCUGGUUUGACACCAGUUCUGCUGUUUCCAGACUGGCUGAUUUGUGGCAGGAAUCUCAGAGGAUGUGCUGAACUGCCUCUCCUCACCCAUCUUGUCUUGCUCCUGAGGGCAGCUUAACUAACUCACCUGAAAGGUUAUUUAUUUGGCAGUAAAAGCCACAAAGAAAACAGAGCUGCCUAAUGAAGACAACUUUGUGACUCUGGCCCGUUUUUAAUUUUAAUGUUGCAUGUAAUCUCCAUUCUGGUCUCUGGAGUUGUCAGUGGUUUUACAGCUCCUGAUUAUAUGAGUGCAGCAGGCAGAGACAGCUCAGUGGAAGAGCUGGGAAAGCAGCAUUAACAACAGCCCAACAGCCCCGGGGGAAUCCAGCCCGGGAGCUGAGGAAUUGUCUGCACCAUCAUUGCAGUGACACAAAGCACAGGCUGAGCAAGCACUCUGUGGUGGUGUCCUUUUCACAACCUACCUGCCUGCUUAUUUCUAGGUAUCCAAAUAGCUCUGAGCCUGAAACACAAGGGAAGAGGAGACUGCAUCCAUGGAGAGAGUGACAGUUCACUGUGUGUUACAGACAGGAAACUCUUACAGAAAUAAAGAGGGUACCGGGGAUUUGCCCAUGGGUACAGAAAGGAGGGUCAAGCUUGCAGCCAGCUUUGGAAUCGUGGGCUAUCCAACACUGUUCAGCUCCUUAUCACCCAGGCUGUCUGUGCCAGUGAAGGAUCCCAUUGAUAACAAGGAGCCAGCCUCCUCUCCAGGGCACUGUCCUGCCAAUAAAGCCCUCCAGAGUCAUUCACCUCCUCCCACCAGACAGGCCCAGUGCUAAGCAGCUCACAGACUGGAGAGUAAAUCUAUUCAGAGCCUAAGGAUUUUCUGACAGGAAGAUGCAUACAGAGCCAGAAGUUCCCUUCCCAACAUGAAUAGAGGCAAACACAAAAGGCCAGGCACAUUAAAAUGGGCACUGUCUGGAGCCCCAUGUCCUCUGCUGUCCUUCACGGCCACAUCUCAUGCCUGCAGGAGCCUCAGGCUCUCUCUUUCC